rnacentral:rRNA from 1 species
GAUGAACGCUGGCGGCGUGCUUAACACAUGCAAGUCGAACGAUGAAGCCCAGCUUGCUGGGUGGAUUAGUGGCGAACGGGUGAGUAACACGUGAGUAACCUGCCCUUAACUCUGGGAUAAGCCUGGGAAACUGGGUCUAAUACCGGAUAGGAGCGUCCACCGCAUGGUGGGUGUUGGAAAGAUUUAUCGGUUUUGGAUGGACUCGCGGCCUAUCAGCUUGUUGGUGAGAUAAUGGCUCACCAAGGCGACGACGGGUAGCCGGCCUGAGAGGGUGACCGGCCACACUGGGACUGAGACACGGCCCAGACUCCUACGGGAGGUAGCAGUGGGGAAUAUUGCACAAUGGGCGCAAGCCUGAUGCAGCGACGCCGCGUGAGGGAUGACGGCCUUCGGGUUGUAAACCUCUUUCAGUAGGGAAGAAGCGAAAGUGACGGUACCUGCAGAAGAAGCACCGGCUAACUACGUG